GGAAAUGUGGCUCAGUAGUAGAGCGCUUGCCUGGUAUGCAUGAAGCCCUGGAUUCAUUUCCU
rnacentral:tRNA from 1 species